rnacentral:rRNA from 1 species
GAAAAAUAGGGAGGUAAUGCGAGACCAAAUGGUAUGAUGAGGGAGUUCCGUGAAUGCCUUAUGGAUUGUGGGCUAGAGGACUUAGGUUACACUGGCGACCUUUUUACUUGGAGCAGAGGUGAUAUUCGAGAGCGUCUUGAUCGCGCAGUAUGUAAUAUUGGGUGGGCACUCAAAUUCCCUCGUGCAAAGGUGAUUAAUGAAGAACAUGUUCAUUCUGACCAUCGCCCGCUGGUGCUCGAUACGGAUUAUCUAGACGAGAAUAUUUUCAAGCUACCAGCAGGACGUGCAAAACAAUUUGAAGCUAGGUGGUUAUAG